GAUGAACGCUGGCGGCGUGCCUAAUACAUGCAAGUCGAGCGAACGGACGAGAAGCUUGCUUCUCUGAUGUUAGCGGCGGACGGGUGAGUAACACGUGGAUAACCUACCUAUAAGACUGGGAUAACUUCGGGAAACCGGAGCUAAUACCGGAUAAUAUUUUGAACCGCAUGGUUCAAAAGUAAAAGACGGUCUUGCUGUCACUUAUAGAUGGAUCCGCGCUGCAUUAGCUAGUUGGUAAGGUAACGGCUUACCAAGGCAACGAUGCAUAGCCGACCUGAGAGGGUGAUCGGCCACACUGGAACUGAGACACGGUCCAGACUCCUACGGGAGGCAGCAGUGGGGAAUCUUCCGCAAUGGGCGAAAGCCUGACGGAGCAACGCCGCGUGAGUGAUGAAGGUCUUCGGAUCGUAAAACUCUGUUAUUAGGGAAGAACAUAUGUGUAAGUAACUGUGCACAUCUUGACGGUACCUAAUCAGAAAGCCACGGCUAACUACGUG
rnacentral:rRNA from 1 species